AGAGUUUGAUCCUGGCUCAGAACGAACGCUGGCGGCGUGCUUAAGACAUGCAAGUCGUGCGAGAAAGCUCCUUCGGGAGUGAGUACAGCGGCGAACGGGUGAGUAACGCGUGGGUAAUCUGCCCGCAGGUCUGGGAUAACCCGGGAAACUGGAGCUAAUACCGGAUGAGACCACGAUGUCCCCGGACAUCGCGGAAAAAGAUGGCCUCUCCUUGGAAGCUAUCGCCUGUGGAUGAGCCCGCGUCGCAUUAGCUUGUUGGUGGGGUAACGGCCUACCAAGGCUUCGAUGCGUAGCUGGUCUGAGAGGAUGAUCAGCCACACUGGGACUGAGACACGGCCCAGACUCCUACGGGAGGCAGC
rnacentral:rRNA from 1 species